UCGGGUUCGCGAGCGUUCGCCGAAGGUCCAUUAAACCCUUCUUAUCAGUGACGUCGGAGUACAAUCGAAUUAUAUAAAACUUUCAACAACGGAUCUCUUGGUUCUGGCAUCGAUGAAGAACGCAGCGAAAUGCGAUAAGUAAUGUGAAUUGCAGAAUUCAGUGAAUCAUCGAAUCUUUGAACGCACAUUGCGCCCCUCGGUAUUCCGGGGGGUAUGCCUGUUCGAGCGUCAUUACACCCCCCAAGCCUCGCUUGGUCCUGGGCCUUCGCCCUCGCGGCGGGCUCGAAAAACAGUGGCGGUCCGAGGCGGCCUCAAGCGUAGUAAACUCUCUCGCUUGGGCGCACGUCUCGUGACCGGCCAAAACCCCACGGAUCGAUCGAUCCCUUCAAGAUUGACCUCGGAUCAGGUAGGGAUACCCGCUGAAC
rnacentral:rRNA from 1 species